CCCUUAGAUGUUCUGGGCGGCCCGCGCACUACAUUGGCACUAGCAAAGAGAUCCUAGAUUGAAUUCUUUGGGGUAUUCUUCUAAAUGGUGUCGUGACUGGGAUAAAUCCUUGUAAUUAUUGGUUUUGAACGAGGAAUUCCUUGUAAUCGCGGUUUAUCAGCUCGCGUUGAAUGCGUCCCUGCCCUUUGUACACACCGCCCGUCGCUCCUACCGAUGAAUCGUCCGGUGAAGCUCACGGAGUGACUGUUCACGCAACGGUUUACGAAGUGAAAUGGACCUCACGAUUUAGAGGAAGGAGAAGUCGUAACA
rnacentral:rRNA from 1 species